GGAGGUGACAGGCGACUGGUGUCGCUCCUGGUCUUCAAAACCAGUGCGGCGUUCAACAGAGCGCCGGGUGGGUUCGAUUCCCAUUCGCCUCCGCCA
rnacentral:tRNA from 1 species